rnacentral:rRNA from 1 species
AGUGAACGCUGGCGGUAGGCCUAACACAUGCAAGUCGAACGGCAGCACAGUAAGAGCUUGCUCUUACGGGUGGCGAGUGGCGGACGGGUGUGGAAUACAUCGGAAUCUACUUUUUCGUGGGGGAUAACGUAGGGAAACUUACGCUAAUACCGCAUACGACCUACGGGUGAAAGCAGGGGAUCUUCGGACCUUGCGCGAUUGAAUGAGCCGAUGUCGGAUUAGCUAGUUGGCGGGGUAAAGGCCCACCAAGGCGACGAUCCGUAGCUGGUCUGAGAGGAUGAUCAGCCACACUGGAACUGAGACACGGUCCAGACUCCUACGGGAGGCAGCAGUGGGGAAUAUUGGACAAUGGGCGCAAGCCUGAUCCAGCCAUACCGCGUGGGUGAAGAAGGCCUUCGGGUUGUAAAGCCCUUUUGUUGGGAAAGAAAAGCAGCAGGUUAAUACCCCGCUGUUCUGACGGUACCCAAAGAAUAAGCACCGGCGAACUUCGU